UCCGAGUGUCUGUUGCUGGCGGUUCAUGGCGGGGAGACGCGCAGCGCGAGAGCAAAGGGCGGUUACCCAAUGGCCUUCGCUCUCAUGGCGUCCUUCUUGGUGUUACCUAAAAAUGAAGCCAAGUGUGAUUAGAAGGACUGAAACCUCAGACACAGGGAGCUGGCCUAUUCACCUUAGAAUCCUCUGGGGUACCCACUACAGUGUCUGCAGCAAGGAGUCAAUAAAGAACCGGGGAACAGACUGGAGCAGAAGGACCACCCAGCAGAGCCAAGCCAAAUCACUGACCCUCAGAGACCUGAUGUGAAUGCUUAUGGUUUCAGUCCACUGGAUUCUGCAGUAAUCUGCCGAUCUGCAAUAUUACCACAGUAAAUAAUGGAUAGACCUGAAAAUGAACGUGUACCUCGUGCCAAAAUUGCAGAUACCCCAUGAGCAGGAAACCUCAGCAGUAGAAACAAUUUUAUAUGAGGGAAUGUACUCUCUCCUUUGCAUUUAUCCUCAAAUCUGUAUUUUUAGCCCCUCACUUGUCUCUACAGAGACAAGUGAGUUGCUUAAUCUAAUUGCUGACUGUACAUCUCCAGGAAA